rnacentral:rRNA from 1 species
UACGGAGGGUGCGAGCGUUGUCCGGAAUCACUGGGCGUAAAGGGCGCGUAGGUGGCUUGGCAAGCGUGUGGUGAAAGCCCGGGGCUCAACCCCGGGUCUGCCGUGCGAACUGCUAUGGCUUGAGCACUGUAGAGGCAGGUAGAAUUCCGGGUGUAGCGGUGGAAUGCGUAGAGAUCCGGAAGAAUACCGGUGGCGAAGGCGGCCUGCUGGGCGAGUGGCUGACACUGAGGCGCGACAGCGUGGGGAGCAAACAGG